UACGUAGGGGGCAAGCGUUGUCCGGAUUUAUUGGGCGUAAAGAGCGUGUAGGCGGCUAUACAGGUCCGCUGUGAAAACUCGAGGCUCAACCUCGAGACGUCGGUGGAAACCGUAUGGCUAGAGUCCGGAAGAGGAGAGUGGAAUUCCUGGUGUAGCGGUGAAAUGCGCAGAUAUCAGGAAGAACACCCGUGGCUAAGGCGGUUCUCUAGUACGGUACUGACGCUGAGACGCGAAAGCGUGGGGAGCGAACAGG
rnacentral:rRNA from 1 species